rnacentral:rRNA from 1 species
UGUGUGUUAGUGGAAGCGUCUGGAAAGGCGCGCGAUACAGGGUGACAGCCCCGUACACAAAAAUGCACAUGCUGUGAGCUCGAUGAGUAGGGCGGGACACGUGGUAUCCUGUCUGAAUAUGGGGGGACCAUCCUCCAAGGCUAAAUACUCCUGACUGACCGAUAGUGAACCAGUACCGUGAGGGAAAGGCGAAAAGAACCCCGGCGAGGGGAGUGAAAAAGAACCUGAAACCGUGUACGUACAAGCAGUGGGAGCACGCUUCGGCGUGUGACUGCGUACCUUUUGUAUAAUGGGUCAGCGACUUAUAUUCUGUAGCAAGGUUAACCGAAUAGGGGAGCCGAAGGGAAACCGAGUCUUAACUGGGCGUUAAGUUGCAGGGUAUAGACCCGAAACCCGGUGAUCUAGCCAUGGGCAGGUUGAAGGUUGGGUAACACUAACUGGAGGACCGAACCGACUAAUGUUGAAAAAUUAGCGGAUGACUUGUGGCUGGGGGUGAAAGGCCAAUCAAACCGGGAGAUAGCUGGUUCUCCCCGAAAGCUAUUUAGGUAGCGCCUCGUGAAUUCAUCUCCGGGGGUAGAGCAC